UGCUCCUACGGGAGGCAGCAGUGGGGGAUAUUGCACAAUGGGGGAAACCCUGAUGCAGCGACGCCGCGUGAGUGAAGAAGUAUUUCGGUACGUAAAGCUCUAUCAGCAGGGAAGAAAAAUGACGGUACCUGACUAAGAAGCCCCGGCUAACUACGUGCCAGCAGCCGCGGUAAUACGUAGGGGGCAAGCGUUAUCCGGAUUUACUGGGUGUAAAGGGAGCGUAGGUGGCAUGGUAAGCCAGAAGUGAAAACCCAGGGCUCAACUCUGUGGAUUGCUUUUGUAACUAUCAAGCUAGAGUGCUGGCG
rnacentral:rRNA from 1 species